CCCAGACUCCUACGGGAGGCAGCAGUGGGGGAUAUUGCACAAUGGGGGGAACCCUGAUGCAGCGACGCCGCGUGGGUGAAGGAGCGUUUCGGCGCGUAAAGCCCUAUCGGCAGGGAAGAAGGAGGACGGUACCUGACUAAGAAGCCCCGGCUAACUACGUGCCAGCCGCCGCGGUAAUACGUAGGGGGCAAGCGUUAUCCGGAUUUACUGGGUGUAAAGGGGGCGCAGACGGCGAUGCAAGCCAGGAGUGAAAGCCCGGGGCCCAACCCCGGGACUGCUCUUGGAACUGCGUGGCUGGAGUGCAGGAGGGGCAGGCGGAAUUCCUGGUGUAGCGGUGAAAUGCGUAGAUAUUAGGAGGAACACCGGUGGCGAAGGCGGCCUGCUGGACGACGACUGACGCUGAGGCUCGAAAGCGUGGGGAGCAAACAGGAUUAGAUACCCGCGUAA
rnacentral:rRNA from 1 species